AAAAAAAAAAAAAACAGGACAUAGAGGUUAGGGGGAGGUGAUCAGAGGACUGAGCCAAGAGGCUUUACACAUCCCGACUGGUACAGGCAGAAGACAGCUGCAUGCAAGGCAGGCCCCGGUGCUGCUGCCAUGGGGAGGUCCCAUAUCCCUUUUACAGGAAGAGGCAGCCCUCAGGGAGGACAGAGCAGCAGCAUGAAGGGGUUACGAAGUUUGAAGCCUCGUUAACUGUGUGUCCUGCCAUGCAGAGCUGCCUCCAGCUUCAUGCCCAGCAGUAGCAGUCCCCUCACACAGCCGUGCAUCCCAGCUGCCCCCGUUGCAAUGCCUUUAGGGUGGAGGGAGGUGGAGCAACUCAGCAUGGAUGGUGUGGGGGGAGGCAGGGCUGACAUACAGUUGUUUACAUCAUUGCUACUUCCUCUGUACCGAUUCUGGAGGGAGAGCAAUGGUUUACUGGCAAUGUUUCCAACUCAGAUGUUAAAAAAGGGAACUGCUAAAUGUUCUAUCAACCCCCCCCCCUCAAGCCCUCCCAUAUUUCCAUGUACACACAAACUAGCAGCAAGAAGCAGAAUGGGAGGACUUGGAGAGCUGACUUCCCUAUCCCAGGAGCAGAUGGCCAGAGCUUCCAGUGUCCAGCUGAUGAGCAGAAAGUGCUGACCCCACCGAGGACUCCUCCAGGAUGAAGGGGAUGUAGAUGGACAAGGAGAAGGCUGCAGACAGGCUCACAAGUGAUUGCCUGGUAAAGACUCACUUUCUGCCUACGGGGCAGACAGGACUGGCCACCACCUUUCCCCUCAUCAAGGCAUCCCAGGGCGUCCAUUACCUGGAACAGACUGGAUGACAAGGUAAUCCUUCCCUAACACUGCUGUACAGGGGAAAGCAGAUCCCUUUGACACUGCUCCAGGUAUGAUGAGUAUCCUGCCAGUCCUCCUCACCGUAAGUAUGCUUGGUUCAGUCUCUGGUGAUGAAGGUGUAAAUAAACCCGGUGCCUGCUCCUCUGCUGCACUGUGCUUAGGUGGCUGUUGCUGCCUCCUGCUGCUCUAGCUCAUCAUCUUCAUAGUCUGAGAUGUAGGAUUCCAUGCUCUGCUUGGCCAGCAGCUCUCUUCGGGCUUGGAGUCGCUCGCAGCGAGGGCAGCGCGUGGACUUGAAGCAGGACUUGUGGUAGCAGGCUUUGCAUUCUGGGGGAAGAAAAGGAGAGCAGCUGAAGGCUGGCACAGGCUGCCUGGCUCUCCACACCUGCAGAGAAAUGCUCCAGAUUUGUCCAGGAGGACAAACACCAGAAGCAGGCGUUUGGCACUGCUGAAAGCAGCAAGAACUCAUGCUGUAAAGUACCUAACUUGAAACUGCUGUAGUCUUAACUUUGACCCUGCAGCACACGCUUCACUACAGGGCAGGGCUCCUGCCCUGGAUGAGCAAAUACCAUUGUAAUAUUAUUUUAAACACUGUUGUAAACAACAACUGAUCUGCUGCUGUUAUCAUGUGGUGCAGACAUAGGCUGUUCAUAGAAGCACUGUGAUCUGGCUGCCUGUGUUUGGCUCCACGCUUCUUACUGGCACAAAGCCACUCAAAAAUGAAGAAGCAGACAUUGCUGACCCCCUUCCUGUUUUUCCCCAUACCUCACCUUCACAUGUCUUGCACUUGUUGAGCUCAAAGGGGAAGAUGAUGUCCCCUUCAUUCUGGCAGAACUCGCAGAUGAAGCCUUUGGCUUGGCACAGCUAGGAGAAAAGGCCAGGAAGAAAGUAAGCUCGACGCUCCUCAUCUCCCUGGAGCUGGAUAGUAGGACACGGUGUCUUGCUCUACCUAUGUGGGACAGUCCAUCCCCAGCAUGAAGUAUAGCAAGGCAGAAUCAACGUGUUAAGGAUAAAGUCAAAAUAGGGUAAGAAAUAUCCUGCAUGUGCUGGGUAGCAGUUCUGUGGAACAGGUGAGAGCAGCAAGCUUGUAAUCAGUUAAUUCUGUGAUUGCUCUGCAUGUCAAAGGCCUUCCCACUGGCUAUUUACACAGAAAGCCUACCCAAAGGGUGUUUCAGAGCUGUGCAGUAGGUGGCUAUAGAGGCCUUACCAUGCAUUUCUCAACGUGCAGGCUGCCUGCCUUCAGGAGCUCUGUCAAGCGAGGCACCAGGUCCCCCCUCUUGGUGGCACUGAGGUCACUUAGAGAGUAGAGAUGCAAAUCCUCUGUCAAGUGGCCAGGCACCGCAUCGAAGGAGUCCAGGAGACUGCAAGGACAGCAAAACUGGAGCUCAGAGCAGAAGAACUCUACUGAGUCAGAUACAGGACAGCAAACAGCUUAACAUCGCACCCCAGGACUCACUCUUUAGCUAGCCGGCAGGUCUUAAACAUGUUCUUCAUGUGGAAGAGCUGGAUUCGCAGCAGCUGGAGAGGAAGGAGGGACACAAGGGAUCAGUAAACAGAUCACAGACCUUAACCAAACACGUCUGCCCCAUUUCCUGCAUUGGUGAAAAGGCUGCUGUUCCCCUGGUACAGGAGUGUUUACACCACGCUGGAUACAGCGAGCACAACCAGUCACCACACACUCCAGGAAAUAAACCAAGGCCCAGCUGGACACCAAGCAGAAAUACCUUCCCAUUCUGUGCUACUGCACAGGAAACAAGAUACGAACGGAAACCCACAGCGCUGAGGUUUUAAGCUUCAGAAACUGAAAUAUCCGCUUCUCCUCAGCUUCUCCAGCGCACGAUUUACAACUGGCAGCCACCCUCCCCCUGCAAGCCCCAUCCAGGAAGGUGAGGGAAGGGGCUUACCCACACUUGGUUGAGAGACUUCACCUUCCGGUACAGGGCAGGAUUGAUAUCUUGCACGUUGAAGAGCGGGUCGCUCCAGAUCUUGCUCAGCAGGUCUUUGGAGAAGUUGCUCACAUAGUACUUGCUGAAGUCCCACUUGCGCAGGAUGCGGCUGGGGAUGACUGUCUGGGCGUUCUCGUGGCAGCACUGGCAGAAAUACUUCCCCAGGUACUCACAGUACCGCAGUCGCUUGAUGUAAUCUAGCCAAGCCCAGGGGAAGGGGGAAGUCAGGUGAGGUGCAGGCUCUGCCCAUCCGUGUAUCAACAUUUCCAGCGAGGAAGGCGUUCUGCCUUGCCAGCUCCUCCUCCAGCAACAGACUGCUCAACACUGGAGCUUGAAAGCACGCUGCAGGCUGCAAAAUUCUUUGAGGACCACAACCCACCCAUCAAUCCAUGCUGUUAGAGGAGUGCACAAAAGCUGUGACCCAAAUUUGUGGAUACAGACACUGCAGACCCACCAGGCUACCAAAGGAUAGGAAGCUAUUGCUCAGCACUCACCAGGAUCGGUCCGGAUGCCACAGCCUGCACACCGGUAAUUCUGCUUGGCCACAGCUACCUUCCUCCUGUCCAGAGACAAAAGAUGACAUAAGUGAAUCCAGGCCUGAUGACACCCAGCACCUGACAGCAGGCGCUGACACAACUCUGGACAUGCACAUCCACAUUCCUUGCAAUGAAAGCGUGGAUGACAGCCCUUCAGGGCAUGGGCAAGCUGAAGAGCCUGGCAGAGUUGGGCACCGUGCAAGAUGAAGAUCCUGGUACUGAAUGUGAUGCCUUCAAGGAGUCUGAUCGUAUGUCACCCAGAUCCCCAGAACAACUGCAUAUCAAAGAGCAACCUGCACUUCAAGGAGACCAAACAGCAGCCUCUGUGAAGAACCCAGUGGGGGAGGGCUGAGCACAAGACAGGUAAACCCACCACGAUGCCAAGUUUGUUCUCUGCAGACAUUAGUAGGAAAAGGCCAAGGCACUGCUGCCCAGGAAGAUGUGGUAGCAACACCCUAUGAGAACAUGCUGCAGGGGGCAAGGAAGAAGCCACACAGCUGGGCUGAGUGCCUUCCAGGGAACUGUCAGCACCACUAGGGGAUACCUUCUGUUCUUUGUGAGGUUUUUCACUCCUUUCUGGUUCCUCCACAAGACCCAGACCCCACAGCCCCAUGACAGCUCAUUUCCAACACUGGUGCCUCAACAAAGGAACCAUUUGGCAUGUUGACAGUCGAGCAGUUAGUGCACACUGUGGCCCAUGCAUGUUCCCUCCAGGCACACUCCCAGCAUCAUCCACUCCCAGCGUACCAGCAGGAGUUUUUUGGAAAGCUGCCUUUUCUUAUACCAGCCAGGAUGCCUAAACAGCUUUUUUAGAGACCAUCUCAGGCCCUGAAAACCAACAGCAAACAAGCAAUCAAGAUGCCUAGCAAGAGCAGUGGGUGAGCAGCCAUGCAGGCCUUGCUUAUGCCCCAGCUCUAGGGCAUUUUGCCCCAGUUGUGCCCAAGCACAACUUUUGCUUGGGAGCCACUGCUGUUCCCAAACUGCUGCCUCUGUCCUCUCAGCCCUCUCGGCUGUUAGCCAAGGCACUGCACAGCAAGCGGCAGGGCCUGGACAAAACCCAUCCUUCUCUCCUCCAGUUUCAUCAGAACUAGCAAAGGCCCUGGGCAGUGGGCAUGGAGCCAGGGAAUGUGUGAAAAGGAUCAAAUAAUCGGUGAGCUGGGAUUUCCAAAGAGCAGUGAGAGCUCUGCACUGUAUGCUUUUCCAAUCACCGUGCCUCAGUACUGCCCUGCUCCUGUGCUGGCACCUCCAGGCAGUGCCCAUGUACCUUGGUAGUGCCACCCCAGUCACUGUCACCCUCCUGUACACAGACAUACUCACACCCCUACCUUCUGCGGGGCGUCAUGUUCAGGGACCAGCCAUUCCAAUUCGGAGGCAGCUGGCAGCUGCAUGCCCUCAAACUGCUUCAGCAAACCCAUGGCCACAGCUUCUGCAGAGUUUGAAUUGCCGAAUGAAUGGGAUCUAGCCAACAAAGGAAGCAGUUAGUACUAGGGGUCUCAAAGCUGUGCUGCUUCACAUUCCCCCAUUCUCUGAUGCUAAUUCUCAGCUCAAGCAGGGACACAGCUUUACACCUGUCCCAGAUGAGAGAGAAAGGCAAGGGAAGCUCAGAGCCAGCAGAAACCAGAAGCCAGGCAGGCCAUAUACUCCAAGUCAUGCCAGCUCCUCUUCCCAGCCUCCUACCACUAGAAAUUGUGGGGAUCUUCCCAGACACAGCCACAUCAUAUCUCAUGUCCACAUAGCAUGUGAAUGAUCUUUAUCAUCCCAGGUGCUGCUUUCCAAAUUCAAAAAUAGGACCCAGCUGUGCCUCACUGGUAAGAAAAUGUAGGGAUGGAGGGAGGGAUGUGCAGUCCAGUGCAAAUCAGCAGCUGAAGCACGUGGAAGUAGAGCUGGGCAGGAAAGGGAACUGGGUACCAAGAUGUCUCAGUGCAAGUUGAAUACGUACAUGGAGUCUGAGGAGAGAAAGGGCUUCCUGCUGGAGUCAGGGUUCCUCUUGAUGUCUGCAUCUGAAUCAGAAACAAACAUGAUGGAGCAAACUGGGCAGGGCUGAAGAAUACAUUCACUCCAAACGGAAGCUUCAUUUUAAAACUCGUCAAGCUGUUUAAAAGCACAGAAACUACAACAUCAGCUUCUACCAGUGAUACAGAGCAGCAAGGAGAGGUGCAGUCAAAUUAAUCACCUAUUGGGAGUUACAAGGUAAGGCACAGUGGGAUGCUGCAAAAACACAGCCAGGAUUUGGUGUGGAAGGUGGUGCAGGUCACACACCAAGUCCUAGUGUUUACACAGCCUGUAACAGUGCACACAGCUGCAGCUAGGAGGGCACAACAGCAAGGUUAGCUGGAAAGUUUAGUAGCUCUUUAUACAGUACAGGUGCUGCAGGGCAUUAGCAAUGGGACGCAAAACCCUCCUCCCUAUUGAAUCAUACAACUCAAGAUAAGUGGCUGUGCCACAGCUUGUCAGCUGUUGCACCACAGCACUGGCAGCCUGAGUUCUGCGCUCAAGAGACGAGUCAGCAUCCAUGUAGCUGCAGGGGUCAGUCCUAUGCAGAGGCACAGAGCCAUGAGGCUCUCUCUGGGAAGCAGAGAUCCAAGAUCUCUGGAAUAGACCUGGGUUUUACCACAUCCCUCCUCAGGGCCAGGAUGUGGGCACCACAGCAGUAUCCCAGUGGUACCUCCCCCCCAUGUGUGGCUCUGGAGUCACUCUGCUCUGCUACCUACGCAGGUCAGUGACACAGACCACUCAGAUUCUGUCCAGGCACCAGCUCAUGCUUGCUCUGCAGCAGAAAGCUAAUGCCCCGAGCCGUCAGCUUUGCUAGGAAGAACGGGGUUGCUCCAGCAGAACAGGGAGCAAGAAGUUCUGAAGAAGUGCUCUCCUGAAGCAAAUGACUCUUCAGCUGCUCCUGGCUUCAGAAAGGGAAGGGUAUGCAAAGAGCCCAGGUUGAGCCUCGAUAGAUCUUCACUAAGUUUACAAACUCAUGCUAGCAGAGGUCAAUGUGGACAUGUAACACUGUGUUUGACAUCCAUUGCUAGUAACUGACACACGAAAGCAUCCUGAUGCUAAGGAAUCCACCCACCUACAUCAUGCAAACAGACUUCUUGUUGCAGAAGAGAGGGAACUCAGCCAAAAUGAGCCUCCUAAUCACAUAGAUACACUGCAGAUAUAUCUACCAUGCUCUGAGGCCUUUGGUUCUGUGCAAGAAGGCUUUGCAUGACCCUAGAGUACGACAAACUCAAGCAAACAGUGGAGCACACACAGUAUAGGACAGGCCAAGCACUAUGAGGAGAUCUUGGGCAGAGCACUGCUAUCAUCUCAGGGAGGGCAGAGGGAUCCAAACCUGGCCCUAGGCUCCCCUGGGUGCUGGGAUCCUAUCAUCACUCCCUCCCCACUCUUAAUUGCAGACACUCCUCAAAAGUCUCCACUUAGCUGCCCCAAAUGUCUCCGCUGCUAACGCUUUCACCAUGUGGGACAAUCCCCAGGGGGUUGGUGAACAGCACACAAAGGCAGGGAAGUCACCUAGCCCUGAGCUGCCAGCUUUGGGCCAGGAUGAGCCAACUCUGCAUUGAAUUCAUAGGAUACAGCAGGAUUGACGGGAAGCUCUGAGCACUAGCAUCUCCAGCAGGAGCAGCACACUGAUGUCAAAUGCUGACAGAAGAGAUCAGCAGCUAAGCAAUACCAGGCUGCACAUGAUCACAGCAUCCAGGGCCUCCAGUGGGUAAGAAACACCUCUUUCCAGCUGUUCUCACUACUUUUCCCUCAAAGACCUCUUUCUAGAAGGAUUCCUCCCCAAGUCAGGUCUGGUCAGGAAGGGAAGGGCUGGCCACAGUUUGAAUCAGAGUCAUUGCACGCCAGCUCUGUGGAAUCAAGCAGGAUGACUCUUCCCCAAGGCACCAACAGCUUCAGAGUGCUUCAGGCCUGUGCUCGCUCUGCCUUGUGGCCAAAAGCUGGCAGUAGAGUCAUUCAAAGAGCAAGAUUCCUUUCUUUGUGGUUCCCUCCUUGUCUUGUGUGUGAUCAGAGAGGCAAUUGUUUUCAGCAGGGCAGCUCCAUUCAGAGCCAUCGUGUUAGAGGGCAGCACCUCUGAGAUGGGCCUCUGGUGCUGCAGCAGAGGACUGCUGUCACAGAGCCCAGCAGCUACAGAAUUACAGCGCUAUGCUUUUGCCUUCCUGAGUCCCACCCCAGGCUAGACAGGUUUUCCAAGCAGCAGGCAUGUUUUGUGUAUUCAAAAUGCUGCAUGGAAAAAUCCCCUGAGGGGUGGUGACCAGGCAGAGCUCCUCUGCUUCCUCUUUGCUCCCAGCAAAGCACCGUCCUUCCACAGCUCUUCUUGCUGACACUUGGAUGACACUGUGUCACUGUUCCCAAAUCAGAAAGCAUGAGGAGCUGGUUUACGUGCACUGAGCUGUGAGGAAGGACAGUUGAAAUACCCACACCGGAGACUUAGGUCAGGGCCUGACAGUAAAUUUCAGUGAUUUGUUGCCUGAUCUGAAGCUGAUCUACUGAUGAACUCGAUACCUGAUGACCCUGUACAGAUUGAGGCCUCUGCACUCCCUGCAACACCCUGAGGGGGCACGCUGAGAACUGUGCACGUGCAAGGCACACACACGCACACACCUUGCACACACACGCACGCGUGCCAAGGGAGCACUGCAGGUACUACCUGAGAACAAGGAAGCCAUUGACACUGAGAGGCCGUCCUUGGACAUUUGAAUCAGGUUAGAUCCAUCGUUACCAUCUGUAUAAUAUGGUGAUGACAAAACAGUUCACUUCAGUGCUUUGGCCAGACCAAAGGGAAAGGGCAUAACACAAAAGCAGCACUCGCAUGGGAGAAGCCAGAACUAAAUUCACACACACCUAAAGGGACUUCAAAACCAAGUCCAAAAUCUAGCUCUCAGGAACUGAAAUGGGGGCUUUGCUGUCAAGUCACAGACAAGAAGAUUGAGAACUUUAUAAACUGAGACCAGAUUGCUCCAUCUUCUCUCAUCUCACCUCUAAAGUCUAAAGCGUGAACGAGGUACUGCUGAGAUAUGAGCCAUCCAUCCCAGAGGACAAACGAGGCUUUGAAGGAAAGGGAUGACCAGGGACCUAAGGCAGGUCUCCUGCAUGCAACAGGCUCAGCCGCACUAGCAGCCAGGAGCAGAGACCAGGAGCAGUACAGGUCAGGGGCUGACCAGCACCCGCUGCUCCCACCCAACACACAAGUCUGCUCCUACUGCUUGGGGAGGAAGAAAGCAGGGUGGCAGCCCUCCCAUCUCUCCCUGGCUGUGACAGCUGCUCUGUGACCUGGCAAGUGAAAUGGAAACCAUGUGCCAGUUCUGAAUGCUAAAGAAUUAUAGAGGAUUUUGAAGGAAAGUCAUGCCACCACAUGAGAGAAACUGGUUGAUCUGUUCAUGCUCAGCAUUCAGCCAUUUGUUUGGGAAAAGCCAUCCUGAAGGCUGAAGGGACAUGCUCUCAUUUAGUGUGACUGAGCUCAAUGCAACCAGGCCCAGGAGAAGUCUCUCUCUGUGCAAGAAGCUAAUGCAGCCAUUGCCUCUUACCUCGGAUCUCGUACUCCUCCACAUCCUCCGCAGAGCCCGAAUCAGACAGGCGCGUGGAGCCAUGGGAGCUGAACUGGGACUCACUGUCUGUCGCCACAAGGCCUGGGAGAUAAAGGGAAGGCAACACAGCCAGGCCAUCAGUGCGAGCAGCUGAACGGGGCACGGACAGCAAAGGGGUAAAGUGAUAGCCAGCUGUGACCAGGGAAGGGUGGAUGGCAAGGAUGGAAAACAGGUUCUGUGGCUUCUAAAUGAAACCACAUUCCUUAACUCAGUGUCACCAGGGCACGAGUGUUACGCAUAUAUGGUAUCGGCCCCGCUACACUGUAAUAUGGCAGGGUUUCACAGAUCUCUGCACCACCCUGUUAGAAAUGAACAAAAACAUCACCCACUGUCUGAGCCCAUCUCCUGGCAGCUAGAGAACAUGUGCUUGGUGCGGAUCUGCUGGCGCCUAAUGCGAAUCUUUUGUUUGAGCUCCUGGAUCUCCUUGUCGCUGUCUUCCUCUUCCUCCUCCAGCUGCCGGCUCAUCAUGUUGCAUUUCAUCAGCUCGAUAGCAGCAAUCAGUGACUCUGAGAUGCUAAAGUGAGCAUUCUCCUGCAAGGCAAAAGCAAAAGUAUUUGAGGCUGUAGCACAGGGAAAAUUGGGAAGCCUUGGUAAAAUAUGGUUUAAUAUUUUCAUCCAGAAAGGUGGCAGAAAGACCUUAUACCUUUCUGGCCCUAUGAAAUCUCACUCUUCUAUGAGAACCUAGAAAUCAAAGCCUUUUGAGGCAACAGAAGUGUUGCAAAACAUAGGGCAAGUCUUACAAAGUGGAUGUGCAACAUCUCCAUGCUGGGGAGUCAACACAUGCCCGUAAGGAGCCACAACAGGCAGCCAAGCUGCUGCAUGUAACACUAGAUGGGCAAAUCUUUGAAGCCAGCCAUAAAUGAGCAACUCAACUUGAAAGUUCUAUGCCCAGCUCUAUAGCAGGAAAUAGCAUGUGAUUAUCUCCCCCACAGAGGAAGGUAGCACUGAAUCUGCAGUAAAAUUUCUCCAGAGAGAAAUCUGCCUCCCUCACCUUUUCCAGAUCUGCACAGCUGCCAAAGUCCUGCUCAGAGAGGUAACUGAUGAGGGACUGCCCUUCUGAGGGUCUUCUGAACAUUCCUUCCCCCGAGCUCAGGUACUGGCCAGAGUCUGGAAAAACAAGACAGCAACAUUAUGAAGGAAGGACCAGGAAAUCCACUGCUCCAAGCACUGGGUAACAGCCCAUGCUCUGUGUUAGUUCACACAGCCAACAGCUGUUUAUCCCACUCUACAGACAGAACUAGAUCCAGCUUCAUCCACUGUAAUGGAGAACAGCAACCAACACAGGGCCAUUACAAUGACAGCAGGCAUCCUGAAACCAUCCAGCCCUCCAGAACAUCCCACCCUAAGCAGGAAGGAGCAGGAGAUCACUUGACUGUUCUGGCUGCUAUCAGAUGUUCUCCUGCUUCUCUGUGGCUCUUGGACAGGAGGCAGCAGUAAUUUUGGAACAAUGACUAGGGCCAGCUCUGCCCUGGAGCACAAGGAGACCUUGACCUCAGGCAGCCCUAGGGCACCACCACAGCACAUCAUUAAUAAUCAUCAUCCCCACACAUCCUGGGCAAAGCUGCUAAGACAGCAACCACGAAAGUACUCCUGGCAGGCCCUCAUAACAGCCUUCAGGUAGCCAGUGUUUGUUAUUCGGGAUAAAAAGAAAGAGAAGGCAUAUGCCAAAUAACAAAACAAUAUGAAUAACAGACAUGCUCUAGCAUACUGUAGGUAGCAGAGUGGAUACACACCCAUGCCAAAAGGAAAAACUUUUAAUGAGCUGCUCAGCAUUGAUGCUGCUGGACCCACAGAGGCUCCUGCAGAGCCCACAUGUGAGCACUGCAGCGAGUCUUCAUUCACCCAGAAGGCCAGACAGACCUUCAGGGUGCAAUCUGCAAGCUAACAAGCCUUUCCAGUUCCCAACCAGCUCACUACAAGCCAUCUCCUGCAUGCCUGCAUCCCACAAGCAGGUGCCAGAAGCUGAGGCUGCUACAGUGCAUGCCCAGGAGCAAACAUCCCCGCUGAUGCUCACUGUACUUACCAUACUCCAUGUAGAGGGAGCUGGGCGUGCUCAGUUCGCUGCUCUGGGUGGAACCAGAGACCAUCCCUCUUCCUCCACCUGUAUCUGAAUGGGAUUCUGCAAAGGAACAAGACAACACCAGGCACAUGUCAGCAAUCCAGGAGUGCCCAGCCCAGAGCAUGGUGUGAAAUGAAAGGAGAUCAUCUUCAUAUGGGCGGGCACAAAUGGAUGGGAAUCAACACGGGAAAUCCUCCACUUGUCUCACCUGCUCUGUGCCAUGCCUGAAGUCAAGCCCAAGUGGGAAGACAAACUAGAGGGGCAUUUCAGGCAGCAGGGGAUGGGUGAAAGGGAAAGAAAAAAAGGCCAUGACAAUUACGGAUCAGUCAAGUCCUGAGCCUUCCUCUCUUUAUGCCGUGCAAAUCUGGAAAAUGCAAUAGUUCCUGCAAGCACCUCUGACAGCCUCAUCUUCCUCCUGGAGCAGUUCCAAGGAAGAAUCACCCCAUAAGGCUGGGACACGAGACAUGGGGACAUCUAAGCAGCCAAGGGAUCUGUGAGGCUCGUGGCCUGGACAAGAGUGGAAGGAGGCAUCUGAAGGAUACACUCUUGCUCAGCUAGGAAAACCCAGGUUUCCUGCAUACCAGAGCCAGGAUCACAGUGAUCAAGGCCACCUCCCCACACAUGCUGCAGGGCUGCACACUGCCAGGCAGAGCUGGUGGGGACCGCCAGGAGCUGGCCUCAUUGGGGACAAACAACUGCCAGAGUUUUGCAGACAGCAAGGCUCCAGAGAGCAGCUGACUUGGCUGGGAAGGCCCAAAAACAGCCUACUGCUGGAAAGCAGCACCCUGCAGCUCCUGCUGAAGCCGGAGCCAGAGCAAGGAACAGGACUAGGCACAUCUGUCCCUGCUUUUGCCAAGUCUAGGAGGAGCCUUCCCAGCCAUGGACUGCUCAGCACCCAGGGCCAUCAGCAUCAAACUGCCCCUUGCUGCAGAUCUGCCCCAUGAAAAAUAUCACAUUGAAGCCCACGCCUUCAGGGCUACCAGCCCUUGGCCACCAGGGGCAACCUCUUCUGGCUCCCAGAGUAAUGGGGGAGAGGAGACGGUGGGGGAAGAAGCUCAGGGACUUGCUGGUCAGCACUUCCUAACGCCAUGCAGAAGAGCUGGGUGCCAGCCUUGGUCUGGACCACUGCUGCCAAAAACCAGGCUGGGAUCUUCAGUCAGGCCACAUGCAUAAACCUGAGGCACUUCAAAGCACCUGGGGCUCCUGGGAGAAAAAAAAUUUUGUUUGCUUUCUAAAUGGAUAUUAAUGAGUUGAUGGAAAUUCUGAACUGAAUGCAGUGAUCACUAAUGAGGCUGUUUUGCUGGCUCCCAAACCUGCCACUGGAUCUUCUAUUAUAAUGGUGAUAUCCCUGAGGCCUCCUGGACAGACAGAGGAGGAAGAGGGCAGCAUUAAGGGAAAGAAAACAGAGACAGACUGGUUACUACGCAGCAAGAACUUUUGUUUCUCCCAUGUAGGCAGCACCAGCAGGACUGACUCCCACAAAAUGGUUGUCCCUUCACUCCCAAAUCCUCCCACCAUGCAUUCACACACUCAAGAGCACAGAAGAGCCCAGCAGGUUACCAGCACCAUGACAAGAGGCUCCAAAGUCUGCCAUAGCUCUAUCCCCCAAGUGGACAGGACCAGAGGGAAAGGAGAACAGCUAAUUCUGCAGCAUCUCUGCUAUUUGCUAAGCUUCCAGUGAAGGCCACAGCAGAGCUGCUAACACCAAAACUAGACUGGCCCACAGCAUUCUGAUGUCAGCCCAUCACUCCAGUGUGGAGCAGAAAGAUGGAGGGUAACAAUCAAACCUCCAAAUGCUUGCCCACUGCUCCCGUUGCUCAUCUGACACGCGGAGUUGAAGGGACAGCCAAUAUCCCAAUAGUGGUGACUCCCACCUGGCCACGGUCCCACCACUGUGCUCACACCCCACAACCACCCCACGCACCAAGCAAAGUAACCCCAUUACCGUGCAAUUUCCCCGAAGCCACGUUGGUGUCAGAGUGCGAGCGCAGGUGGCUCCUCUUGAGGACGCCCUGCGACACCGAUGACUGUCCCUCUGAAAAGCUGGACCGGCGCAACAGGCCCAGGCCCCUGCUGCCACAUCCGUUUGCCCCCCGAUCCCCUGAGUCCAGCUUCUGGGAGCUGCUAGAGGAGAACAUGUUGGAGCUGCUGCUCUUACUGCUGCUGGUGCUGCUGGUGCUGCAGGCCCGGCCACGGCGCCCCAAGUUCCCGAUGGCCAGGUACUCCGGCCCAUCGUUAGCAUCGCUUUGUGAUUCAUCCUGACUCCCUGUCCAAGUGUCCUCACUCUGGCUGGUGGUGCUGGAACUCAUCUCGUUGGCUGGAGAGAAGGGGUCUUUGGGUGAGGGGAUGUGGGAUGGAGGGACAGCGCUGGGCUGCUCCAGAGGAGACCUGCCCUCGCUGAAGAAGGAGGACUGCGAGGCCAGGCAGUGUUCCUGGGGUUGGCUGGAGCUUGAGCUGAUGGAGGAGCUUGCUGGUCUCCUGUCUGGACAGAGAGAAGAAGAGAAUGUCACAUAUCCUCUGUGCGACCCCCUAAGCCAGCAAGGAGCCCAGCCUGAGCUUCUAGCACCUCUGGUUACCUGAGAGCCCAGAGGAGGCCGGGUGAGGCAGGCUAGAGAAGGACCCACAGUGGUGCUGCUGCAUGCAGCCUGGAGACAGGGUAUAGAAAGACCCAGGGAGCGCAGUCAGGCUCUGACUCUUGGUCACCGAAGACAGACCUUCACCCUUCCUGGUAAGCUGAAGAGAGGAAGCAUCAAUAAAUCAGCAUCUCAAAGGAGCAGCUUAAGAGACAGAAAAAACUGGACCUGCAGGGCCUGCACAAGCACCUGGUUACCAGCCAGCACAGCCCUGGGGCUGCAGGAUGGGAGAAACACGCUGCAGCAAAGAAGGGAAGCAGCUCUUUAUGCACAGCGAAGCAGCAAGCUCCAUCUGGAAAUUACCAGGCUCUCAGCGAGAUGAUCUAGGCAGCCCAGUGCCCCAGGCAGGCGGCUCUGUUGUCCUACAGCAUCGUGGUCACACAUCUCUCCUGUCCCAGCAGAGGGACCUGAGGAGCACACGGAGGGCAGUGAUGUGCCGGCCAGCUGAAAGAACACAGACCCUAUUUAAUGAAGCAUCAUUAAUUGCUCUCCUCUGGGGAGCUCUUUGCAAAGAAAGCAGCUGCUGUUCUCCUAUGAGGAGAGGGCAGCUGGCACUGGGAGGCACUGGGAUGGUGGCGUCACCAGCAGGAGGGGGAAUCUGGCUGUCCUGGGUGCUGCCCAGCCCUCUGAGUGUGGCUGACCCUGAAGCCUGGGUCUUUUGGAGAUGGCUUUAGAGGUGUCUCUUAAAAGGAUAUGGCUCCUGAGCCUCAUAUUCAGAUUCUUGAUGACAGCCAGAACCGAGGUGCCUCACUACAGACAUUUCCUCCCAUCCCUCCAACCCCUUCCUUUUGCUAUUUCCCAAGUCCAGGCCCUUGUCCAAGGGUUCUGUGUGCUGUGAAUGCAAUAUUGUAUGAGCAGCCACAGCCGUACAGCAUUUAGGGAGGGCCAGAUGCAGAAGCCAGGGGUCUCAGCUCACCAUGGAUGUGUCGAUCUGAGCCAGCAGCCUGGGGUUGUUCUGCUCGACAGCCUCCAGGCACUGCAGCAUGGCUGUGACAUGGGCGUCACUGAGCAGGAAGGCUGUGUCUGCAGAGAGAGAAUUACUGUCAGGGGGCUUUCUCCCCACCGCCACCAGCAUGAGGGUAGCAGGAGGUAUAUGAUGCUCUUCCUGCAGCAGUCCGCAAGGAAAAAAUUGUGAGAAAAGCCACCAAAGUGCUGGAUAUAAAACUUGGCAAUUUUAGGAAAAACCUACAUGAAGAGGAGGAGAUGAGAGCUUUCCUCACCCAGCUAAAACCUGAGCCAAAAGAUUUGCAUUCCAAAUUAUUGUAUCUGGUUCAAGGUUUUGUCUUAAUUUGGGGGGUAUCGAAAAACUUCUCUCUUCAGUACUCUAAAAUACAAGAUUAAAGAAAGAUCCUGUCCCAGAUCAGUUUAGAUAUCUUUGUCCUUGCUAUUUAUCUUUACUUUCUGACAAAUUCUCAAGUUUUCACAAAAGUUCCUAAUGUGCACGAAUGGACUACAAUUUUCACCUACAAAGGAGAAGCACAGCUGCAUUUCCACACAUCAGCAGAGGUCAGACCUUCAUCUUUUUGUUUAGAAAUAUUCCGGGGGAAGGGAAAAAAAAAACAGCACUGUUUGAAACAGAUUCAAAAUUGACUUUCUUUGCACAUUUUAUUUCUUUGUAAUGGGAAAUGCAUUUCUCCAAGUUUGCAGACUGGGACAUGGACUUGAAACCAGACUGCUUGACUACCUGCAGCAGAAACCUUUGAGCCCAUGCAAAGAAGCUGCCACAGCUCGAUCUCCUAAGAGAAAGAAAAUGAGAAUAUCCAACGCAUUCAGACUUGCUCAAGCUCCUGUUAGGGCAGCAAGGAGGACACAGACAAGCAGGACGAAGCAUGUUGCAGACAAGCUCACUGCAGAAAACUAAAGCUCAGCUCUUCUGACCUGCAUCCAUGCAUAUACAGUAUGACACAGCACGCUUUGUCUGACAGCACAGAUUGCACAGAUGCAAACUUCCUUUUCUGCUGCUCCCCUCAAGCAUGAGUUGGAAAAUCUGCUUUCAUACAAGGAUGAAAAAGACUCAUUUCUACUUGCCUGUGUAGAACUUCCUUAUGUACUGCCUGUUCCCCAGGAGAGGUCUGAGCUGUGCUGAGAGGCAGUGGAACUGCAGGCUGUGCUGCAGCCACAGCUGUGCAAUAGCUUGGUCACUGUGGCUGUCCAGGCUGGGCUGGCUGUUCUCAUGCAGGCUGAUGAACUGGAAAUGAACCAUGAAGGCACAAGUUAGGGCAAGAAGAAGUAAGCAGAGGAGCAGGGGUCGUUCCUCCUCACAGCUCUGCAGCACCAGGCACUGUUGGUGAGAAUGCAGUCACAUCCAAGCAGCCACCAAGGCAGCACAGGGAGACAAAAGCACCGGAGAGGAACAACACUUCAAAGGUCAGCCAGCAUUGGUGACCAAAGUCCUACCCACAGCCACCAGCAAUAUGAAUUUCAAUGGCAUGUUCUCCUACCCCUGACCUGGAGGGACCCCACACUCCCAAAUCUAAUUGCUUUCCUGCAGUGACAGUCAUGUUCUUGCUGACACAUUAACUGAUGUGAACAUUCUUGCUGCUCUACAGCAGACUGCAAUGGAAAGCAUGAAAUCUGCUCACAUGUGACAAAGAGCAGCGUGGUGCCUUCAGGUCUCAGAGCACUGAGGGCUGAAAGCAUCCCUGUGCAUAAGCAAACAGCAAAAGCUAGGCACAGAAGAGCCAAUGAAUGGUCAAGGCCAAUAUACAACCCAGAAAUGGAACAGAUGAAACCUCUGGAGAUUUGUACAACUAUAAAUCCCUACUGUGUGCACAGAAGCAUUGCUUGUGCCAACUCCCUUGGUGAUGCCUGCUGUACCCAACCAAGGAGGCCAUCCUGUGGGAAAUUAGCAGCUGACUGUCUAACCCUAAACCACACCAAGUUCCUGGGAUGUGGCUCACACACAACCACAGUGCUAGUUCGUCCCUCACCAGUGGGUUCGCAGCCCAGCUGCCUUCCUCCCCCAGGCUGGGCACACCAAGGCACCCACCAGAACUCACCUUCUCCAGGUGAUGAGCAGAGCUGGGACUCAGCCGGCGGAUGUCCUUCACGAACUGCCAGUAAUCCUUCUGCCUGCAGUACACCUGCUGGGACAGGCUUGGUUAGGGCCCACCAUACACACGAGCCUCGAGUGACACAACAACGACAGUACAGCUGGCUCAGAGAGCAAGGAGACGGCGUUCAAUCCAGAACCUGUCAGGAGUUCCCACAUCACUGGUCCCUUCCUGCCAGAGAUGGACCUGGAGCAGCAGGCAGCACAAAACACAUCCCAGCAGAACCUACAGCAACCACUGUCCUCCCAUGCCAGUCACCAAGAAGGACACACCAGCAUGGCUGAGCACCACAGAUAAGAAAUGUGAUGCAGCACGUUCUUGGCAUUGCAUUCCUAUCAGCUCCUUACUGCUGUUUGCCUUGGCUCUGUUCAGACAGUAAGUUAUUUCUUCUUAGUUAUUCUUCCAGUCAAAGAGGAACUGCAGAAGAAUUGUUUUCCUCAACACUUUAUCAUGUUUAAGCACAGCCCCAACUGUUUCUCUUUCAAAAAAAGCUGAUUUUUUUCCUCCAUCUCUGCUUCCUCUUUCACAAGUGUCAGAGGAAGGGGUUUUGUUUUGUGGUUUACUUGUUUGGGGGGGUUACUUGUUUCUAUUUUUAAGACCAAAGCACCAACACAGACAUUUUGUCCCUUCAUAUUCAAUUGGGGUUUUCUGGAUAAAAUAAUAAAAUUCAUACAAUAGUUAAAAAAUCUCUUACAAUG